rnacentral:lncRNA from 1 species
UCACCUUUACUUAUAUAAAAUUUAAACCUAUAAUUUAACUCAUGAACUUAUACAAGAUUAUACUUGUAUAUUCGAAACUAUCAAAUACUUAUAUAAAAUUUAUACUUAUACUUCAAAUUAUAAACAUUUAAUUACAGCUCAUCAAGUAUACAAUCGAUAUACAUGUAUAAAUAUUGAUUUAUUAACUUUUAAAUUGCUAAUAGACUUACCUCGGAUAUCGACGGACAUAGUCGACUACUUUCGACUUUCCCCGAUCUAAUUCCGUUUUCUUCUGUUCUUGAUUUAAAUAAGUUCAAAUUUAACUAAUUUAACCAAAUAUUCAUUUAAUUAAAUCCAAAAACACAUAAAUGGGUAAAUUACACUUUUUCCCCUAACAUUUCACAUUUUUCACAAACUAGUCCCUAUUUCACAAAAAUACAAAAUAAACAAACUUUCCUUGCACAAUAGCUUGGCCGAAUAUGCACUAAGCUCAUAUAAAUCCAUGCAUGUCAUUUAUUUCACAUUUUAGUCCCUCAAUUUAUUAUUUUUGCAAUUUAGCCUUAAUUACUCAAAAUCAUCAAAAAUUCAAUUUCAACAUAUAUAUAUAUCCAUUUCAUAUAUUUUAUUUUCUAUCAUUAAACAACAAAAUUACAAGCUUUCAACAAUGGCAAAACACAAAAUCAUCAUCAAAUUCAAAAAUUUAAGCAUGAGUCGAGUAGUAUUCGAAACAACGAUCUCAAAAACAUAAAAAUCAUCAAAAACCGAAACCGAAACAUACCUUAAUUUGCUUGAGCAAGGGCCGAAUACCUAGCUUGGUUUUCUUAUUUUCUUUCUCUUUUCAUUCGGCACAAAGAUAAUGAAUAUGACCACUUUCUUAUGUUUUGUUUUUA